CUCUCUCUCUCUCUCUCUCUCUCUCUCUGUCGCUGAAGUCUCCAUGUUAGGGCAGACUCAUAAGCAGAGUUCAUGCUGCUCGAUUCUUCUUCCCUUUCUCCACCGCGAGUCGAUAAAGCUUGUUGCUAUCCAGGUUGAACUUGUAUUCCACCUCCGAAUGGCUGGUGGCGCCACUUAGCUACCAAGAUCAGUGGGUGCUUAUGAGUUGUAUCUUUUAUAAGUAAAUAUUUGAUUGUACUUUGUUCAUGGAUUGUCAGGGCACCCCUUUAUUUAAUUUGUUGAGAUGAUUCUUGAGUUGUAGUAAAUUAUCCCGAAAAAUUUCCUAUAAUCUCUACAUGGAUUUUGGUGUUGCUGAGGAAGUAGAAUGGAAGCACCUGACAGGUCACACAUAUCUUGUGCUAUGCCAUGUGGCAUUGGCUUUAUGUACCAUACAACUUCCACCUAAUAUGAAUGAUGGGACCCACCUGUCAUCGUGUCAAGCAGGAGCGAGAUGGGGCCUACUCAGUGGAGUGAAGAAUAUUUGGAAAUGCCAUUACCUACCAAAAAUGCUUCUAGUUUCUUUGAAUUUUGAAACUGGAUAACUUACAUCACUGUUUCAUUGCCUCAGAGCAGGGGAUUGUGAAUGCUCAGUUCUGUCAUAUUCAAACUUUGAAAACAGAGGAGGAACCUGAUCAUGUUGUGCAAUUGAUCAAUACAUACUGCAUUGAUGUGGAGUCAAUCUUGUUUGAACUUGGAAGUUACAUUGAUCUUCCUGAUGUUGAUUUUUCUAAGUUGGCUGCCCUAGCCCAGCAAGUAGAGGAGAGAAGCUCACUGUAAGAUGAUAUUUUAUAUUCUGUGUAAGGGUAGUUAUUGGAUAAUAAGAGUAAUAAUCAUGUCUGAUAAAUAGAGAAAAUAGGAAACAAUUUCUGGAAUGGAGUGUAUGUUUGACAUUGGUUGGCUACAUGUGGUGCACUCGUAGAUAGGUUGCUUUUAGUGAAAGGAGUUUAGAUAUACUGAAAGAAGGAAAUAUUAAGAGAAAAAAAGCAGCUGUUUGAACAUGGUUUAAAAGGCUGAGCUCAUGGUUUCUUGCCUUUGAUCAAGACCUGGGUACUGGGACUUUCCUUGGUGAUGCAAAAGCUCACAACAUGUGUGCAUUUAUUAAUGUGAUUAGGAAAUACAUAUCUAUGUUUUCUCCUCAUUUCAAUCGUGCACUUUCUAUUUUUAAUCUCUGGGGUAGUGGGUGCUGAUGGUUGAUUGUUUACUUUUAGUGGUGAACAAAGAAAGAAAAUUUCAUGUGCUUCUCUCUCUUUCUCAUGUGUGGUUCCUCCCUUUGCUAUGGUAGACAACUUGUUUAGCAUGAUUCAUCAAACGAUUGUAUAUUUUUGCUUCUCAAGUGGUCACUGGACCUUCAAGUGCUCUUAGCAUGCUUUAUAUUGUCUUUCUUCAAUGGCAAGGCCACAAUACUUUUUGUUUCUUCAUGAAAUAUUUUCUUAACUCUACAUUCUUUCCCAUUCCUUUCAAGUAAAGAGCAUAAAUAACAACUGGGUUCAGAAGUAGCUCCUAUAUGUGAUGAUUUAUUUGUACUUGUUUGCUAUCUGUCUCUUACUUUAAUUAAGCUGGCAUUAGGUGUUCUUACCUUUAUGUUUUUUUAUUUGUCUUCAUGGAUGUAUAUGGCAUGCACGUAAUGAUGAAUAUCAUAUAUGCAAAUUAUAGUCAUUGACUAUUCUACUCAGCAUUUUUUUAUAUUUCCUAUGUAUACUAUGAUAUAUCCAAAUAUGUAUAUGUAGUUGUAUUAAUCAACACUCCAAUUAAAAAGAAAAGCCAAUUUGAUUCCUUUUCUUCUUUAGUUAAAAGAACAUAAUGAUCUAAAUGGUUUAAGCACCAUCUCUAAGAAUAAUGGUUAGCUGAAACAAUAGGCCAACACUUUUAGGUCUAUGUGAUAAUUUAUUUUGCAUGGAACUUUAAAUUUAUCGUGUCUGUUUUGGAAUGGUGUCAUGUGGAAAUGAGCUAGAGUGAUCUUUCUUAUAUGUUGGUUCAUGGAUAAAAAAUAAUAAUUUAAACGACAAUAAUGAUAGUUCAUUAAAGUUCAAAAGUAGCAAGUAUCUAGUAGUUUCCUUUUUUUCAUCAUGCAUUAUGCUCUAGAGUUCUGCUGUCAUGUACAUUUAUCACGACUCAUUCUUCCUUUUAGUUAAAAGGCGGCAAUAACCCUAAGAUUUACAAGUGUGAUGAUGUUUGGAUAAAUGCACCGCUGUCUUGUGCAUAUUCUUAUGAUUUGUCUGUGUUAACAUCCACAAACUCAAAUGUUGGAAUCUAGCAAUGUGAGAUAAUCAUUGGUUAACAAAUAACAACGAGAGCUAUUAGUCGCUUAUAUUCAGCACAAAAGAUAGUAAAUGGUAAAAAAUUAUUGCUAAUUUAUAAUUUUUCUUCUCAAGGAAAAUAAAUUGUGCGGAUGGUUUUACCAAUUUUCCUACAGUUUCUUUGUUGUCCCACUAGUCUAGCUGAAAGUUAAUUUCCCAUCUAUCAUAAAAAGAAUUAAAAAGGUGGAUAUAAUGUACUUGGUUUUACAGCAUGGGUGCAGAGCAUAUGAGGCUUGCAUGUGCUGAUCUCAUUCAAGCUUGUCGUCAGAUGGAUAAAAGAAAUUUGUCCCUUUCCCUCAAUUGGAUAAAGAAUGAAUUUGCUCAUAUUCGGACCAAGUUGGAAGUCGUUGUUCAGGUUGGAAACAUGUUUGAGUCUUUAAUAGGUUUUGCUUUUGGGCUUUGGUAGAAGUUCAACAUGGAAAAAAGAUAUACAUUUGUAAUGCCACACAGUUGCAUAAAACUUCUUGCUAAAGAAGGAUAGUAGGCAUCAAUCAUAAUCAAAUCAAGCUCAAAAUCCUGAGUCUCAAAUUUGAGUGGCUGUGCGCGGCACUUUUAAUUGAGGAAGAAUAGUUUCCUAUAAUGGUUUUCAGGGCACGUGGGAUAAGAUUGCUGGCUUGUUGCAUUUUAGGUAUCGAAUUGCAUGUGGCAAAAUGCACGUCAUUUCUCGGCAGCAUUUUACUUAAACAUAUAAAACUAAUAUACAACACCUACAUUAACAGGACUUUGGUUUAUCGUUCAGUUGUUUUUGAGAGAGUGAGGGAAAUUCAUAAUUAUACCAAGCUCUCCCCAAGUUCUUGGCACAUGCAGAUUGUUUUCAAGUUUUUGGUUCUCCACAAUAAUUUCUGCUUCACAGUAUGUCCCUGUUCUAAUAAAGUAUGGUGCACAAAUGUUUUGUUGCCUGCAUUUAACAGAAUACUUGUUCUGCUUGUUGCUUUUUUUGGGCCUCACUGGUUUGUAGAUGGAGCGGAAGAUUAUGCGACUUGAGAGCAAACAUAAAAAGUAGAUUUCUGUCUUUUGUCAAGUUCACCUCGAUGUGUCUGAGAGAACUUCUCGAUAACCUAUCCCUGCAGGAGUGAUGCUUGUGGAUUUAAGAUCAGGUUGUUCUAAUAUCUGUUGUUGCUUUGUACUUGGUUGUAUAUUAGUGGAUGGUAUGCUGUAUUAGGAAGGAUUCUCAUCUUUAUUUUGCACUUAUAAAUAAUAUACUCGUUUCGAUGCAGAAA